UACGUAGGGUGCAAGCGUUGUCCGGAAUUAUUGGGCGUAAAGAGCUCGUAGGCGGUCUGUCGCGUCGGAUGUGAAAAUCAGGGCUCAACCCUGGACCUGCAUUCGAUACGGGUAGACUAGAGUUCGGUAGGGGAGACUGGAAUUCCUGGUGUAGCGGUGAAAUGCGCAGAUAUCAGGAGGAACACCGGUGGCGAAGGCGGGUCUCUGGGCCGAUACUGACGCUGAGGAGCGAAAGCGUGGGGGAGCGAACAG
rnacentral:rRNA from 1 species